rnacentral:rRNA from 1 species
CCUACGGGUGGCAGCAGUGAGGAAUAUUGGUCAAUGGGCGCGAGCCUGAACCAGCGAAGUAGCGUGAAGGAUGACUGCCCUUCGGGUUGUAAACUUCUUUUAUAAAGGAAUAAAGUGAGGCACGUGUGCCUUUUUGUAUGUACUUUGUGAAUACUGAUCGGCUAACUCCGUGCCUGCAGACGCGGUAAUCCGUGGGCUCCGAGCGUUAGCCGGAUUUAUUGGGUUUAAAGGGAGCGUAGAUGGUUUGUUAAGUCAGUUGUGAAAGUUUGGGGCUCAACCGUAAAAUUGCAAUUGAUACUGUCAGCCUUGAGUACAGUUGAGGUAAGCGGAAUUCGUGGUGUAGCGGUGAAAUGCUUAGAUAUCACGAAGAACUCCGAUUGCGAAGGCAGCCUACUAAACUGCCACUGACAUUGAUGCUCGAAAGUGUGGGUAUCAAACAGGAUUAGAUACCCGAGUAGUC